rnacentral:rRNA from 1 species
CCCGGGCCUUGUACUCACCGCCCGUCACACCAUGGGAGUUGGCUUUACCCGAAGGCGUUUCGCUAACCGCAAGGAGGCAGACGACCACGGUAGGGUCAGCGACUGGGGUG